GAUGGACACAUGUACGGGGAUCCAAGGCUAGUGGAUGAUUUUAUAUUGUAUGACCAGACUAAUCAUUGAUCAUCUGCAGUAUGGGAUGGUCAGAUUGUUGUGGGAACUAAAACUACAAUAUCGUGUGCACCCUUCUAUUUCAGCAGCACAGCUGAGGAAAAAAAAGGUAGAGAGAUACUUUCUUAGUGACGUAGAUUUCUAUCCAUGUUUGGAUGAUAUAUCUGU